rnacentral:lncRNA from 1 species
CCCCCCACAAUUUGAGCAACGAAGAUCAGCCACUCUCAUAGUAUCUAUCGCCUCAACAUUGACGAAGGUCAGCCAUUGGCUGAGCGGUAAAUCUCUAAUCCAAUAAUCAUGAAGGAUGCCCACAAUACGCCCGUCCCCCACCAACGAUUUUGUCUGAGGAAAAACAUCAAGGGCACGAGCACAGAUCUCAUGCCAUAGGAAAGAGGCAUUCCACUGCGGAUGGGCC